AGAAUCAACGCUGGCGGCGCGCUUAACACAUGAAAGUCGCACGAGAAAGUGGAGCAAUCCAUGAGUAAAGUGGCGUACGGGUGAGUAACACGUGGAUCAUCUACCUUUUAGUGGGGAAUACCUCCGGGAAACUGGAGACAAUACCGCAUAAGCUCGUGAGAGGAAAGCCGAAAGGCGCUGAAAGAGGAGUCCGCGGCUGAUUAGCUAGUUGGCGGGGUAACGCCCACCAAGGCGAAGAUCGGUA
rnacentral:rRNA from 1 species